rnacentral:rRNA from 1 species
GCGGUGGAGCAUGUGGUUUAAUUCGAAGCAACGCGAAGAACCUACCAGGCCUUGACAUGCAGAGAACUUUCCAGAGAUGGAUUGGUGCCUUCGGGAACUCUGACACAGGUGCUGCAUGGCUGUCGUCAGCUCGUGUCGUGAGAUGUUGGGUUAAGUCCCGUAACGAGCGCAACCCUUGUCCUUAGUUACCAGCACGUUAUGGUGGGCACUCUAAGGAGACUGCCGGUGACAAACCGGAGGAAGGUGGGGAUGACGUCAAGUCAUCAUGACCCUUACGGCCUGGGCUACACACGUGCUACAAUGGUCGGUACAAAGGGUUGCCAAGCCGCGAGGUGGAGCUAAUCCCAUAAAACCGAUCGUAGUCCGGAUCGCAGUCUGCAACUCGACUGCGUGAAGUCGGAAUCGCUAGUAAUCGUGAAUCAGAAUGUCACGGUGAAUACGUUCCCGGGCCUU